UUUUUAAUUAAAAAUCUCAAAAUUUCUUGUCAAAAUUUCAAAAAUGAAUUCGCUAGUUGAGUCCGCAGCGAAAUUGUGGUCUCACACGAUUUUCGUCCACAUUUACUCAUCGCCAAAUUUUGUAAUGGAAACGCUCAUAAGUCUGAUCAUGGUGAUAAUACACUGCUUGCUUAUCGCAGAGAUUAAUGGCAUUAUCAAGGAAAUAAACGUUCCGCCUUUAAAAAUACGAAUAAAAAAGUCUCUGGGAGAUAUCAAAAGUCAGCGCUCGAUUUACCGCGGUGUGGUCAGAAAUCAUCCAGAUCUGGGCGUCGAUGUGGUCUUCAAAGAAAAUAGUUUUCUCAAAAGCGACUGGAACACCACUACAAAAAUCAAUAAGCUUUUAUCGACAACUUUGAGCGAAUACAUACGGCGUGAUUUACAAAAAACUAACUUACCUAUUGAAAGCGAGGGAAAAUCGGAGGAAGUUAGCUCUCGGACCAGUACUGAUAAGAUCUACGAUUAUCUUCUCACAGAACCGGAACUGCACAAGAAGCUCAACUGCGAGGAGCUGAAAAAAUUCGAAAGAACCGAAAUAUUGCGACUGGAGUGACUGCGCGAAUUUCACUGUAAUUUUGUUUCAAUAAACCCGGACUUUGUAAUGGAAAUGAAUGGAAAAAUAUAUUUAGGAACGACACCAUAAAAAAUUUAUUUAGCAUUUCGUCUACAACGUGUGGUUGCAUGUGAUUUGCGAACUUUAGAAAUUCCUUAUCUACCUACAAGAAGUAAACAACAAAAAUUAUUUCUGUAAAUAAAAAACACAACAUAGAGAAGGAGAGGGGAAUAGGGAAAGGGUACAAAAAAAUUUGUUCCUUAUAGAUAGAUAAUAAAAUUAAUUUCUGUCCGUU